rnacentral:tRNA from 1 species
GCCGAGAUCGCAUAGCCUGGUAGUGCGCGCGACUGGAAAUCGCGUGGGCCCGUCCCUCGGGGGUUCAAAUCCCUCUCUCGGCGCCA